GGAGAGGUAUCGAAGUGGUCAUAACGGGGCUGACUCGAAAUCAGUUUGCGAGCAAUCGCACAAGGGUUCGAAUCCCUUCCUCUCCGCCA
rnacentral:tRNA from 2 species